ACUCGGAAUACUGGGCGUAAAGGGUGCGUAGGUGGUCGUUUAAGUCCGUUGUGAAAUCCCUGGGCUCAACCUGGGAAUGGCAGUGGAUACUGGACGGCUAGAAUGCGGUAGAGGGUAGUGGAAUUCCCGGUGUAGCAGUGAAAUGCGUAGAGAUCGGGAGGAACACCAGUGGCGAAGGCGGCUACCUGGACCAGCAUUGACACUCAAGCACGAAAGCGUGGGGAGCAAACAGG
rnacentral:rRNA from 1 species